CCUGCUUUUGUGGGGUGCUCGAGUGGCGAACGGGUGAGUAACACGUGAGUAACCUGCCCUUGACUUUGGGAUAACUUCAGGAAACUGGGGCUAAUACCGGAUAGGAGCUCCUGCUGCAUGGUGGGGGUUGGAAAGUUUCGGCGGUUGGGGAUGGACUCGCGGCUUAUCAGCUUGUUGGUGGGGUAGUGGCUUACCAAGGCUUUGACGGGUAGCCGGCCUGAGAGGGUGACCGGCCACAUUGGGACUGAGAUACGGCCCAGACUCCUACGGGAGGCAGCAGUGGGGAAUAUUGCACAAUGGGCGGAAGCCUGAUGCAGCAACGCCGCGUGCGGGAUGACGGCCUUCGGGUUGUAAACCGCUUUCGCCUGUGACGAAGCGUGAGUGACGGUAAUGGGUAAAGAAGCACCGGCUAACUACGUGCCAGCAGCCGCGGUGAUACGUAGGGUGCGAGCGUUGUCCGGAUUUAUUGGGCGUAAAGGGCUCGUAGGUGGUUGAUCGCGUCGGAAGUGUAAUCUUGGGGCUUAACCCUGAGCGUGCUUUCGAUACGGGUUGACUUGAGGAAGGUAGGGGAGAAUGGAAUUCCUGGUGGAGCGGUGGAAUGCGCAGAUAUCAGGAGGAACACCAGUGGCGAAGGCGGUUCUCUGGGCCUUUCCUGACGCUGAGGAGCG
rnacentral:rRNA from 1 species